CUUGCUAAAGAUAGUAAAGUGGCGCACGGGUGAGUAUCGCGUGGGUAAUCUACCUCCGAAUCUGGGAUAACAUUGCGAAAGCGAUGCUAAUACCGGAUAAUAUCUUUUAAACUUCGGUUUUUAAGAUCAAAGGUGACCUCUACAUGUAAGUUACUGUUUGGAGAUGAGCCCGCGUACCAUUAGCUUGUUGGUGGGGUAAUGGCCUACCAAGGCCGCGAUGGUUAGCUGGUCUGAGAGGAUGAUCAGCCACACUGGAACUGACACACGGUCCAGACUCCUACGGGAGGCAGCAGUGAGGAAUUUUGCGCAAUGGGGGAAACCCUGACGCAGCAACGCCGCGUGAGUGAUGAAGGCUUUCGGGUCGUAAAGCUCUGUCAAGUGGGAAGAACAUGUUUGAUGUUAAUACCAUCUUACACUGACGGUACCACUGAAGGAAGCACCGGCUAACUCCGUGCCAGCAGCCGCGGUAAUACGGGGGUGCAAGCGUUAUUCGGAAUUAUUGGGCGUAAAGGGCGCGCAGGCGGCCUCUUAAGUCAGAUGUGAAAGCCCGGGGCUUAACCCUGGAAGUGCAUUUGAAACUAAGGGGCUUGAGUAUGGGAGAGGGAAGUGGAAUUCCUGGUGUAGCGGUGAAAUGCGUAGAUAUCAGGAGGAACACCGGUGGCGAAGGCGACUUCC
rnacentral:rRNA from 1 species